UCGAUUCUCAGCACCACAUACAAAAAAAACAAAGAUGUUGUGUCCGCCAAAAACUAAAAAAUAAAUAUUAAAAAAAUUCUCUCUCUCUGUACCGCUCUCUCUCUCUCGCUCUCUCUUUAAAAAAAAAAAAGAAAAGAAAAAAAAAGAAGGGCAUCUAAGAAGAGUGACAUUGAGUCCAAGUCAGGCAGAUAAUUGAGGGGCAGAAUGAAGCUAUAGGUUAUUUCUAGCAGAAGGAGAGACAGAAGUAUCAGAAUAAAUACUAUUGAGUUCAAAUACUAUGAGGAAGGAAGUGGUCAUAACAUUUCUUCAUGUACUGAGGAAGUCUAUUCUCAAACUACCUUCAAAAUCUUUUUCAUAGAAUGAUCUUUUUAUAUUGGAAAAUAUGAAAACAAAAUCUCGCUGUGAUGAUUAUCUAGAGAUUUUUAUUCCUUAGAAAUUUUUAUUGGGCUGAGGUUGUAGCUCAGUGGUAGAGCACUUGCCUAGCAUGUGUGAGGCACUGGGUUCGAUCCUCAGCACCACAUAAAAAAUAUAUAUAAAUAAAACAAAGAUAUUGUGUCCAUACAAAAAAUUUAAAAAAAAAAAUUUUAUUCUACACUGGAUGUAGAAAAACAGUUUUCUGGGUAAAGAACCAAUAUUUGCCUUAUAUAUCCUUUUCCCUUGAAUUUAGAAUUCCAUUUUGGAGCUGUUAACAACAAUGCAUAAAAAUAUGUCCAAAUGCCUUCUAGCAUUAUCAGGGGAAAGAACAAAUGAAUGUUUAAAUUGAUAUAAAAUAUACAUAAUUGCAUAAUUGAACAAGCAUCCCUAUAAAACAAAACAAAUACCAUCUGAGAAUUUCUGAUAACAACACUGAAAUCUGUCCCCACAGCCUGAAAUUCUUUUGAUGUAUUUUAGUUUUGAAAAGUCACAGUUGCUUAUAUAAAACAAAUUUAAGGAAAAUAUUAAUUAUUGAUAUAACUGAAACUGUGUUUUUUAAAGGAGAAAAUGGGACAUUUAAGACUGUAAGGAAUAUCCAAUUUAUAUCUUUUCAAUGAUAUUAAUAGUCACUAAUGAGAAUCAGGUUUCAAGAGGCAAGUAAAAUUCCAGUCUUGCUAAUCCAACUGCCAGGUACAAAAUCAGCAGGGCCUUUGAAUUAUUUCAAUUUUAAUAUUUUGACGAUUGUGACCUCAGUUAUCAAACAUAAUCAUGUUAAUGUUUUGUUAUGAAGUAAAUAUAUCUAACAGUAAAGUGGUUUUUUUGUUGGUUGGUUUACUAGAAUUAGGAUAUCUUUGUUCUAGUAUCAAUUCCAUCAAUUUUGCAAAUUUAAGGAAGUAAAUUAUUUCUCAUGUCUAAGAAAAAUGACAAUAAAACUAUCUUAACAAUCUGCUGAUGUAGGUACUGAAUUACCUAUUUUAUAGAUAGAGUUAAGUUAUUGAAAAGUCAUCCCAUCAGUUAAUACCACUGUCAGGAUUUGAACUCCAAUUUAGCUGAAUUUAGAGCUCAAACUCUAAAACAGAAAAGUUGCCCUUUGGUCUCUUCAUUGGCUCCAGGAUUCCAACAGAUAUCCAAAUUCUCCCAUACACAAAUCCCUUACAUAAAAUGGUAUAUUUGCCUAUGACUUAUUAGUCCUCCCACAUUCACGUCAUCUCAAGAUUACUUAUAUAGUUGACCCUUGAACAAUAAAGGGGUAGCUCCUUUGUUGCAACUGAAAAUCCACAUAUAACUUUUGACUUUCCCCAAACCUAACUACUAACAGCUUGCUGUUGUUGGAAGCCUUACCAAUAACAAACAGUUAAUAAAUAUUUUGUAUAUCAUGUUUUGUAUACAGUGAAAAUUACAGGAGAACCAUGAGAGAUCACUUUUUACUGAAAGGUACAGUGUACUGGAUAUAAUAUUACUAACAUCCUAUGAUUUUAAGCAGGUACAAUACUUGAGCUUGCUUCAAUAGCAGCAGGAGGUGACUGAAAUUAUUAUAGUAAUACAGUAUGUACUGCAGUUAAUUUUACAGUUAUUUAAUACUGCAUCCUUAUGUGUGUUUACAUUCCCCUUGACUCAAUGGCACAAUGUAUGUGUAUUUGCAUAAGUUUUAAUAAGCUAAUUGUUUUAGAUUUGUAUUUUAUGGUAGGAAAUGGUUUAAAAAAACAGGCUAUUGGGGGCUGGGGAUGUGGCUCAAGUGGUAGCGCGCUUGCCUGGCAUGCGUGCCGCCCGGGUUCGAUCCUCAGCACCACAUACAAACAAAGAUGUUGUUGUCUGCCGAAAACUAAAAAAAUAAAUAAAUAUUUUAAAAAAUAGGCUAUUAUCUAUGUAUAUCUUAUGAAUUCAGGACAUACCUACCAUAUGUGUGUGUGUGUGUGUGUGUGUAUUUCUAGACUACACAGUUUUGUUUUGUUUUUAAUUUAAGCCACAAAUCUCAAAAAAUAAACAUUAAAAAACCUGCAUAUAGGUGGACCCCACAGUUCAAAUCCAUUUUGUUCAAGGGUCAAGUGCAACACCUAAUAUAGUGUAAAUGCUAAGUAAAUAAUUGUUGUACUGUAUUGUUUAGGGUAUAAUGACAAGGAAAGAAAAUUUGUACAAAUGCAAGGUUAUCAUUGUUCUGGUUUUUGGUACUGGAGAUUGAAGCCAGGAUGUCUCUACCACUGAGUUACUUCUCCAGCCCCCCAACCCACUUUUAAAGACAAUGUUUCUGUAAAUUGCUUAAGGCUUUGCUGAAUUACUGAGGCUGCCCUGGAACUUGAGAUCCUCCUGCCUCAGCCUCUGAAUCACUGGGAUAACAGGUAUGUGCCAUCUUGCCUGCCCCGAUGCAAUUUUUUUCUGAACAUUUUCUAUCUAAAGUUGGUUGGAGGGCUGAUUGUCCACAUAUUAUCAAUUACUUUUUCUUUUCUUUUUGGGGAUUGAACCCUGGGUGCUUUGGGUAUGCUAGAUGAACACUCUACCACUGAACCAAUUCUUACAUCAUGCAGUUUUUGUAAGUAUAAAAAAUUAGUGUGGGGGUUGGUGUUGUGCCCCAGUAGUGGAGAGCUUGCCUAGCAUGUUUGCAACACUGGGUUCAAUCCUCAGCACCACAUAAAAAUAAAUAAAAUAAAUGUAUUAUGUCCAUCUGCAACUAAAAAUAUUUUUAAAAAAUAAGUGUAAAAAUGUCUUCACUUACGUAAAAGAAUGGUUAUAUAUAAACUUAAAUGCCAUUUAUUGGUACUAAAUUACCAUAAAGAAAUGUUCAGCUUUAUGUGUUUUUGUCUUUAAAAUUAAUCCAAUUUGGGGGGCUAGGGAUAUAGUUCAGUUGCGUACUUGCCUAGCAUGCACAAGGCCCUAGGUUCAAUCUCAAGCCCAACCAAAAAAGAAAGAAAAAUUUUAAUGUACCACUAAACAUAUUAUAGUAAUAAUGUAUAAAGAUCCAUUUCUGUAUUACAUAAUUGUAUGUGAGCAAAAAGGAACAUUAGAAAUUACCCUGUUAUUCAUUCAUAUAAUUGAAUUAUGUUAUUCAUGUUAUUAAAAGAAGCCACAGUCCAGACAGGUUAAGUGCCUGGUGUGAGUGUACAUGGCCAAUUUAUGAUGGAGCUAGGAGACAUACCUUCGAGUAAUAAAGACCACAGAGAACUGAUCUUGUUAGAUACAAUCUGAUAGAAAAUUUGGAAACACGUCAAGCAAUCCUAUGUACAGUUAAAUAUAAAUAACAUGCCUGUGUCUUAGUAAUACCUAAUUCAAUGGUUGUUUCAGGGGGAGGUAAUACGGUUUAAAAGUGUCUCUAAUAAUUCACAUUUUUUAAAAAGCCAUCUUAGUAAUGUUGUGUCUAAUUCUAGCCUUACAUGAAAAAAACAAAAUGUAGGGUAGGGAGAACGUGUUUAGCUUGCAUUAAAGUAGUUACUGUUAUGGGAAGAUAGCUCUCCAUGUCUUCUUGCCACUAACCUGUAAAGCUAAGUUCCUUGGUAAGAUCCAACAGACUGCAAAGAAAAUGGAAGAUCUUGAAGAAAUGAAGCAAUUUCUAUGAUAUUCAGCUUCAUAGAUGAUUAAUGUAAAACUAUACAAAGGGUAGAAUAAUUUUAAUUUCUUAAUAUCAAUUGAGGCUUCAUUGGGGAGGUUAAGGAGAGGUUUGCCUCAUACUGCAAAUGUAAAAAUAAAGAUCAUUAUUCUUUCAAGAUCUUUGAAUGGUUUGGAUCCCAUUUGUGAAGCCCCAUAUACCAAUUCAUCUUAAGAUUUUUUCUAGUUAGCUUAUUGAAGUAUAUGAUGGAAGACAAUACUGUUUAUGCUAGUGUAAGUAUGUUAUAUAUUGGUAGUGAAAUGGCAAUUCUAUAAAUGUACUUCUAAAUGAAAUUAAAUCCUUUCAAAAGCAUUUUAAUCUUUUAAUUUUCUAAAAUAAUAAUGAAACACUAAAACUUAACUACUGGGCUGCCUACUUUAUUUAUUAAGGGACUAAUACAAAUCAUUUAAACAUCUCAUCAUCAAUCCAACAGUUAAAGGAAGAUUAUUAUUCAUUCCACAAACAAUGAACAUCAUGAGUAAGACCUAAUUCCUGCUCAGUAGGAGCAUCAGUAGCUGCAUUGUUUGCCAAAAUCAUUCCAAUCCUGAGUCACCACUUGGACUCUUAGUGAUUUAUUAAGAAAAACUGAUUAUGUGUUAAUGCUACACUUUAUGGUAUCCUAGAAACAUGUAUCUUUCUAUAAUUUUACCCAAUUAAGUGAACAAAACCUUCAGGCCUGGCUUACAACCACUGUCCCGACUUCUGGUGGACCUGGAGGACCUUUCUCUGUUUCAGAUGAAAGCAGAAAAUGGUAGCUUAUCAUUCUCUUAUAAUAAAUUGCAGACCACUGGAACAGCAUUGCCUAAAAUAUCCCAGGAAUUUACCAUAAGCAUGGCAACAUUUUAAGUUAUUUUGCUUACUAUGUUAGUCAUUUAUGCCUUUGGAAGAAAGAUGUGCAGUUCUUUUUAGAUUUUUAUACUGUAUCCUUCAGUUGUCAAUUAACCAUUUUUCAAUUUAUUCAUUGAUGAAAUUCAGUACCUAGUAUAUAUUAGGCACAGUACUAGGAGAUAAGGUUGUGGAAAUGUGUAAACUUAGAGCAGCUUUGGAACAGCUCAGCAUCUAAUGGGAAAGAAAAUCAGGUAGAUAAGUACAAUACAGGUAAGUGUUGAAUGAAAAGCAUGAUGUGACCCGUGGGAAGGACACCAAACUAUGAGUCAGGAAAAGCAUCCCAAAGAAGUAUAGUAAUCAUGCAUGUUUGCCAAAUGCUAAUUUCUUUACUCUUUUUUAAGAAUCUGGAUUUUGUCCACAAUGGAUAAAGAUAAUGUGGUAUAUACCCACAAUGAAGUUUUAUUCAGCC
rnacentral:lncRNA from 1 species